UACAGAGGGUGCAAGCGUUGUUCGGAAUUACUGGGCGUAAAGCGCGUGUAGGCUGCAAUGUAAGUCGGAUGUGAAAGCCCUUGGCUCAACCAAGGAAGUGCAUCCGAUACUGCGUCGCUUGAGUGUCGGAGGGGUCGGCGGAAUUCCCGGUGUAGAGGUGAAAUUCGUAGAUAUCGGGAGGAACACCUGUGGCGAAGGCGGCCGACUGGACGAUAACGUGACGCUGAGACGCGAAAGCGUGGGUAGCAAACAGG
rnacentral:rRNA from 1 species